rnacentral:rRNA from 1 species
CAGCCGCCGCGGUAAUACGUAGGUGGCAAGCGUUGUCCGGAAUUAUUGGGCGUAAGGCGCGCGCAGGUGGUUUAAUAAGUCUGAUGUGAAAGCCCACGGCUCAACCGUGGAGGGUCAUUGGAAACUGUUAAACUUGAGUGCAGGAGAGAAAAGUGGAAUUCCUAGUGUAGCGGUGAAAUGCGUAGAGAUUAGGAGGAACACCAGUGGCGAAGGCGGCUUUUUGGCCUGUAACUGACACUGAGGCGCGAAAGCGUGGGGAACAAACAGGAUUAGAUACCCCCGUAGUCCCUGUCUCUUAUAC